GAAAUUAUUGACAAAGACACAACAACUGGGAAACAUGCAGAGAUUGUGGUAUAUGGACACCUGCUGCCAAGGAAGCCGGGGACAGUAUGCUACAACCGUAACCACAUGGCCACAGCAGCUCAAAAUACAAUAGAUGGAUGCGGUGUUGGGUGCAACACAGACGGAAUGGCGGGUGAUAGAGUGCUCACAGAAUUUCAAGGGAUUAUUAUAAACAAGGUCGAGCAGUAUUCUAACAAGUGCCAGGCAGUCGUACAUCUGGUAUCAAGGAAGGGUGAAAGAUUAAACAAGAGACACGCAACAGAAUGGGAGGAGAUUGUCAAUGAUACAAAAGGGCUAUUAGUUGCAGAGAGUGCAAAGAUAGUUGCAGACAUCAACCAAAUAACUGAAGCAAUGAAGGGAAGAAAGAAGAGAGCCAAGUAUUCAAAAAAAAUAGAUGGCAUUCAAGGAGAUGCAGAGACUCCACUGAGCAUAAAGUCGGCAGAGGGAAAUUCCGCAAAUGUUCAUCCACUGGGGAAAAGGCAAGGAGGGUUGAAAAGAAGGAAGGUUGUGGCAUCAUAGAGACACACACCUAAAAGGAAAAGGAUAGAGAGCUCUGAAGAAUCUGAAGGUGCACAUGAAGAAGCACAUAAAGCAAUUGAUGACUUGCUUGAAGCAGCAGAUGAAUAUAGUAGGGGCAGACUGGGGUGGUUGGCGAUGAGACUGGACAGUUAGAGGACAAAACCAGAAACAGCUUGACAAUGUCAGAGUUAUGUGGGGCUACAAGAAAUGAAGUUAUAUGUUCUCCACAACAUGCAAAUGGACAUGAUGAUGGUGAAGAAAAACAAAAGGAGGGUAUGGAAGUUAAUCAAUUGUCAAUAGUUCCUUCCGAAGAACAAGAGAACCUAGAUGGUGGUGCAUCAAUUCAUGAUAUAGAGAUGCGAGAAGGUUCAAAGUUGUAAUGACAAGGCUUAGGAAGACAGACUUGAUGAAUGCAUUCACAACAGUUUUGUCAUCAAAAGAAUUGACGGUUGCGUCAGCAAACAACACGCCAGGUUCAGCAGCAACAAAUGUGCAAGCUAUCAGAGAUUCGGGCAUGCAGAUUGUCAGCACUCCAGCACCAAACCAAUUGUCUGCAAGUAAAUCUAACAGGACUUCUACGGUUAGCCUCCACCGCUAGAUGUGUGCUAUCGAUCUUGACAUUAGGGAGGAGAUUGAGGAGGGAGCAAUCAACUUGAGCAUCGCCAUGUCGCAAGGAUCAUUUAGCACACAACCACAGCCAAGGAGGGUAGUGAAGCCUGGGAAAUACGCAAGGUCUCUGUUUGUAAUGGUUAUGACCCUCCUACUAGAGCUCUAGCGAAUGUGGUGCAAAUAUACAAGUUGUUUUAUAGGGAGAAUGCGAACAAGCUGAAAGACAUGUGGAUUAUUAGCUCAAACCCAAAAUACAUGGACAUUAGCAGAGCAUAGCUGCGUGAGAUGCUACGUGAUGGUGGUCAGGUGGAUAAUGUGCUGAUGACAUUGGCGAUGAGAAGGUACCAGUAGAUGGAUGUUGUUUUUGCUGCUGCCAAAGGGGAAGGAUGCUAGCGACAUUGGCUAGAGCCAGAUUUUGUGAACCAUGUGAGCAGGGAAGACAACAUUUCAAAAAUGAGGUACAUAAAGGACAUGUUUGUCAGACCUCAUAUCACGUAUGAGGUUAAUAAGAG